rnacentral:rRNA from 1 species
CAGUCGCCGCGGGAAUACGAAGGGGGCUAGCGUUGUUCGGAAUUACUGGGCGUAAAGCGCACGUAGGCGGAUAUUUAAGUCAGGGGUGAAAUCCCAGAGCUCAACUCUGGAACUGCCUUUGAUACUGGGUAUCUUGAGUAUGGAAGAGGUGGGUGGAAUUCCGAGUGUAGAGGUGAAAUUCGUAGAUAUUCGGAGGAACACCAGUGGCGAAGGCGGCUCACUGGUCCAUUACUGACGCUGAGGUGCGAAAGCGUGGGGAGCAAACAGGAUUAGAUACCCCUGUAGUCCCUGUCUCUUAUAC